UAAAUUUUAAAAAAUGUCACUCUUCUGUUUUUUAGUGAAAGAUUUUUUUUUUUUUUUCAUUCUGGGCAAAGACACUGUGAAGAUAGGUUUUUAAACCAGGUAACCACUCUCAUAUCUGGGACCAAGGAAGACAAAAGCAAAAACAGAAACACCUUUGGACUUCUUACCUGGUUCUCCUCACCCCAAUUCUGCUUUGCUAUGAUGAUACUAUUGUGCAGAUACAAAGUGAGAAGAUAGAUGAUAUGAAGGUACGUGCAAUUAAAGACAUGGAGCUCAAUUCUCAACUCUCUGCUACAUGGCAGAGACAUGGGAUGAGGGAUGGAAAGAAGAAGGAACUAGGGAGAAAGGUGAAUGUGAUGCAAAGAAUUCCUUAAAGACUAAGAUUGCUUCCUCUGGGGCCUGUCCCCA
rnacentral:lncRNA from 1 species